rnacentral:rRNA from 1 species
UUAACACAUGCAAGUCGAGCGGUAACAGGGGGUGCUUGCACCCCGCUGACGAGCGGCGGACGGGUGAGUAAUGCAUAGGAAACUGCCCAGUAGUGGGGGAUAGCCCGGGGAAACCCGGAUUAAUACCGCGUACGCCCUUCGGGGGAAAGCAGGGGAUCUUCGGACCUUGCGCUAUUGGAUGUGCCUAUGUCGGAUUANCUAGUUGGUGGGGUAAAGGCCUACCAAGGCGACGAUCCGUAGCUGGUCUGAGAGGAUGAUCANCCACAUAGGGACUGAAACACGGCCCGAACUCCUACGGGAGGCAGCAGUGGGGAAUAUUGGACAAUGGGGGCAACCCUGAUCCAGCCAUGCCGCGUGUGUGAAGAAGGCUUUCGGGUUGUAAAGCACUUUCAGUGAGGAGGAAAACCUUAUGGUUAAUACCCAUGAGGCUUGACGUUACUCACAAAAGAAGCACCGGCUAACUCCGUGCCAGCAGCCGCGGUAAUACGGAGGGUGCAAGCGUUAAUCGGAAUUACUGGGCGUAAAGCGCGCGUAGGUGGUUUGAUAAGCGAGAUGUGAAAGCCCCGGGCUUAACCUGGGAACGGCAUUUCGAACUGUCAGGCUAGAGUAUGGUAGAGGAGUGUGGAAUUUCCUGUGUAGCGGUGAAAUGCGUAGAUAUAGGAAGGAACAC